GUGGGGAAUUUUGGACAAUGGGCGCAAGCCUGAUCCAGCAAUGCCGCGUGCAGGAAGAAGGCCUUCGGGUUGUAAACUGCUUUUGUACGGAACGAAACGGUCCGGGUUAAUACCCUGGGCUAAUGACGGUACCGUAAGAAUAAGCACCGGCUAACUACGUGCCAGCAGCCGCGGUAAUACGUAGGGUGCAAGCGUUAAUCGGAAUUACUGGGCGUAAAGCGUGCGCAGGCGGUUUUGUAAGACAGGCGUGAAAUCCCCGGGCUCAACCUGGGAAUUGCGCUUGUGCCUGCAAGGCUGGAGUGCGGCAGAGGGGGAUGGAAUUCCGCGUGUAGCAGUGAAAUGCGUAGAUAUGCGGAGGAACACCGAUGGCGAAGGCAAUCCCCUGGGCCUGCACUGACGCUCAUGCACGAAAGCGUGGGGAGCAAACAGGAUUAGAAACCCCUGUAGUCC
rnacentral:rRNA from 1 species